GAUGAACGCUGGCGGCGUGCCUAAUACAUGCAAGUCGAGCGAACAGACGCGGAGCUUGCUCCUCUGACGUUAGCGGCGGACGGGUGAGUAACACGUGGAUAACCUACCUAUAAGACUGGGAUAACUUCGGGAAACCGGAGCUAAUACCGGAUAAUAUAUUGAACCGCAUGGUUCAAUAGUGAAAGACGGUUUUGCUGUCACUUAUAGAUGGAUCCGCGCCGCAUUAGCUAGUUGGUAAGGUAACGGCUUACCAAGGCGACGCUGCGUAGCCGACCUGAGAGGGGGAUCGGCCACACUGGAACUGAGACGCGGUCCAGACUCCUACGGGAGGCAGCAGUAGGGAAUCUUCCGCAAUGGGCGAAAGCCUGACGGAGCAACGCCGCGUGAGUGAUGAAGGUCUUCGGAUCGUAAAACUCUGUUAUUAGGGAAGAACAAAUGUGUAAGUAACUAUGCACGUCUUGACGGUACCUAAUCAGAAAGCCACGGCUAACUACGUG
rnacentral:rRNA from 1 species